UACGGAGGGUGCGAGCGUUGUCCGGAAUCACUGGGCGUAAAGGGCGCGUAGGCGGCCUGAUAAGUAGGGGGUGAAAUCCUGCGGCUUAACCGCAGGGCUGCCUUCUAAACUGUCAGGCUAGAGCACAGUAGAGGCAGGUGGAAUUCCCGGUGUAGCGGUGAAAUGCGUAGAGAUCGGGAGGAACAUCAGUGGCGAAGGCGGCCAUCUGGAUCAACACUGACGCUGAGGCACGAAAGCGUGGGGAGCAAACAGG
rnacentral:rRNA from 1 species